GUGCCAGCCGCCGCGGUAAUACGUAGGGGGCAAGCGUUGUCCGGAAUCAUUGGGCGUAAAGAGCGUGUAGGCGGUCCGAUAAGUCCGCUCUGAAAGCCCGGGGCUCAACCCCGGGAGGCGGGCGGAUACUGUCGGGCUAGAGUCCGGAAGAGGCAAGUGGAAUUCCUGGUGUAGCGGUGAAAUGCGCAGAUAUCAGGAGGAACACCGAUGGCGAAGGCAGCUUGCUGGGACGGUACUGACGCUGAGACGCGAAAGCGUGGGGAGCAAACAGGAUUAGAAACCCCCGUAGUCC
rnacentral:rRNA from 1 species